GUACCCAUCAGCAGUACAGCAUAAAAAUACGUAUCCCCUUUGUCUUCUCUCCACUCUUCUCUUAAUUUUCUCACUUCAACUUUUUCUCUUGCCUUUUUCCAUUUCCUUGUGUUUUUGCUGUACAGUUCUAGUGGCAUUUUUACAUAAGGGGCACAUGCUAAUGAAUAAUAUCGGUAAUGUUUGUUUUGUGUAUAUUAAUUUCACAAUCAGGGUGGCACAGCUUGAAAGCGUUGGCCUCACAGUUCUGAGGUCUUGGAUUCGAUCCCGGCCCACCCUGUGUGGAGUUUGCAUGUUCGCCCCAUGCCUGCGUGUGUUUUUUUUUUUUUUCCGGGAACUCCAGUUUCCUCCCACAUCCUGAAAACAUGCAACAUUAAUUGGACACUCUGUCAUGCUCCCGGCGCCCAGCCAAGCUGGGCGGGGCCAGGCAAUCAGCACUCACACACUUGCACCUCAUGAACCAUAAUGACUCUCAGUAUAUAUAGGACCCGGGGGACGACUAGUCCUCCGCCUUUGAUGCCUCGUUCCCGCACUCCCGUUUGCCUGACCUCUGCCUUCUGUGUACCGACCCUUGCCUGUCCCUGGACCACCCUUGUAGGCCUGCCGCUACUAGUACUUCUGUUCGUUUGGACUGACUUGCUAGUAACCGACCUCGCCCAGUGCGACCUCCAUUUUGAGUUGCAGGCGUCCGCCUUCCCCACGGACCGCUCCAGAAUCGCCUUCGUCAUUUCCCACAUGACGGGAAGGGCGGAGGCAUGGGCCACGGCGGAAUGGAGUCGCAACUCAGAGACCUGCCGUUCCUGGGCAUUAUUCGUCUGCGCACUCACCCAGGUGUUCCAGUAUGCUGCGCCGGAACGUAGGCGGCGGUUUCACUCAUGACGCUCCGCCAGGUCAUCGCCGUGGAUCUCCCUCCUUUGCUGGACGCUCUCAUAGGAUUGGCUCACAAGUUCGACCAGCGGUUGGUCAUGCAGGGGCAAAUAGAUGCUAUAUAAUAGACGGAGGUCUCCAGUUCGGUUGCUGCCCGGGCAUCCACGCUACCUUCCACGGUCGAACCCAUGCAGGUGGAGGUUCUCGGCGGACCAGCAGAGGAGCGCCUGCGCCGUCGACGGGAGGGGCGCUGUUUCUACUGCGGUCAUCUGGGACACUUGAUCGCACUCUGCCUGGUUUGACCAAAGCGCUCCGACAUCAAGAUCUCCACUCCGUGAUUGUGUUCGUCAACUCCGGGUCGGAUGCUAACCUGAUAAAUCCCCGCGUGGUCAAGGCGUUGGGUGCAGCGACCUUUCCCUACCCAGUGGCUUCGUAAUGCCUAUGCCGCUGACGGCAGGUUCCUCUGCCGGGUAACGCACCGCACUCAGACUUUUCGUAUGGUCUUUCCGGACGCCCACGCGGAGCACAUUAACUUCCACGUUUUCGACUCACGUAGCAGCGAUGUUAUCUUGGGGAGGGCAUGGCUCAAGAAGCACAAUCAACACAUAGAUUGGGCCACGGGUCAGAUCAAGGCAUGGGGCGAGGACUGUUGUAAACGUUGUUUCGCUGUUCAGGAAGACGGGAGGAUUUAAGUGGCACCGGUACGACUUGAGGAAUCGAAUACCGCUUCAGAGCUAACCGCAGUGCCCGCCUGCUAUCACGACCUAAAGGAGGUGUUUUCAGUGACUAAAGUGAAAUCUCUGCCUCCGCAUCGCCCAUGUGACUGUGCCAUUGAACUCGUCCUCGGCACCUCACCUCCUCAAGGGAAAUUAUUUUCCUUAACAGCAACAGAGCACCAGGCCAUGAGGGAAUACGUGGAGGAGUCGCUGGCCGCCGGCCUCAUCCGUCCGUCAUCCUCACCAGCCAGUUCAGGGUUCUUCUUCGUUGAGAAGAAGGACACUAUGCUACGACCCUGCAUCGACUACUGAGGACUCAACAAGGUCACAGUAAAGAACAGGCUUAAUCCUGGCGAAGGGGGAGAUACGUAUGGAUCCCGGGAAGGUCGACGCAGUGCUGGGGUGGCCCACUCCCACUUGUAGGAAGGACGUGCAGAGGUUCAUCGGCUUCGUAAACUUUUAAACUCAAGGCUAGUUUCACCGCCGCACCCAUCCUCAUCGUGCCGGACCCGGAGCUGCAGUUCGUGGUGGAGGUCGACGCGUCAGACUCGGGGAUCGGAGCCAUCCUAUCUCAGAGGAGUCCCAAGGAUGGAAGGAUCCAACCGUGCGCCUUCUUGUCAAAGAAGUUGUCCCCAGCUGAAUGAAACUACGACAUUGGAGACCGAGAGCUGUUGGUGGUCAAGAUGGCAAUGGAGGAGUGGUGUCACUGGCUGGAGGGCUCACAAGUCCCGUUCGCGGUCCUCACCGACCACAAGAACCUCAAGCUCCAAGAACGGCAAGCUGGACACCCUCUCAUAGAUCCACGAGGGGGAGCGCGCGGAAUCGGCAGCCACCUCCAUCCUACCAGAGGCGUGGUUCGUGUCCGGCUUCACCUGGGCGGCCGAGUCGCGGGUGAAGAAGGCCCUGAGGGAGACACCGCCUCCCGUGGGUUGUCCGUCUGAUCGCCUCUUCGUUGCACGGUCGCUGCGGGGGGACGUCAUCACCUGGGCCCAUACCAACAAGACGGUCUGCCACCGGGCAUGGCAAAGACUCGUUCGGUAGUCGAACAGAGAUUCUGGUGGCCCAACCUUUUUUUUUUUUUUUAAUUAAACAAUAUAUUCAUUAGAUUUUUCAUAUAUAAUUUUAGAAAAACAACACAAUAACAGAAAAAUGAAAACAAAAAAAUACACGGUAUACACAGACAUAAUAGUGUGUAAAAAAAAAGCACACAAAUCACAAAUAAUUCACAUUUUUUUUCAAAAACUCUUCUAAGGUUCUCCAUAUUCAGCUCUUCCCCUCGUAAUAUACGUGAGUCUUUCCAGUGCAACACAAGAUGCCAUUUCCAACAUCCAUACUUUUAUUGGACGAAUUUCCACUUUUUUCCAAAAUAGUGCAAUUGUUCUCCUGGCCUGCAGGAGACCAAAGUCUAUAACCGUGUCCUUUUUUUAUUAACAGCAAAAUCCUUGGGAUAUAUACCUAAGAUACACAGUGUUGCGCAAUGAGAAACCUGAUUUCCAACUAUUAUAGAAAUGGUCUGAACAAUAGAUUUCCAAUAAUCUUUGACUUUCCAACAAUCCCAUAAACAAUGAUAUAAAGUACCCUUGUCAUCAGAGCUCUUACUACACAUAUCUGGAAUGUCAAGGGUCCACUGAUGAAGUUUAACAGGAGUCACAUAAGUCCUCAUCAGCCAUUUAUAUUGUAAUAGCCUCAUUCUAGUAUUGUUUGUUUUUGUGCUUUAAGGCAUGCUUGUUACCAAUCAAUUACUUCAAUUUUUUUUCUUUAUCUAGGUUGUGUAUCAUGUGAGACUAAAGAUUUAUCGAACAUAGAUAUCUGCUUACAUCCAUGCAAACCUGACUGGACAAUAUCUUCUAAACUGGAGAAAGGGGAUUCAUACAUUAUGUUUUUGAUUUGUGCUGACAAAAAGUGUUUUAACUGCAGAUAUUUGAAAAAAUACUUAUUGGGAAUAGAAAAUUUUUGACAUAUUUGAAUGAAUGUAAGCGUUUCACCAUUUACAUAAAGGUCACCUAUUGAUUUUAUACCAUUAUUUGCCCAUAAUUUAAAACCCCCAUCUGCUCCUCCAGCUUUAAAAGUCGCAUUACCCCAUAUGGGAGAAAAGUGUGAAAGUAAAGGAGUGUCCCCUAUAUGUUCGUGUGAUUUAAACCAGAUAUCUAUAGUGUUUUUCAAAAAUGGAUUCUUCGUCUGCCGUUUUAAUACUCUAUUCUCAGCAGAAUAUAAAUAAUACUUUAAUAGCAGGUGUGGUACUGUUGCUUGCUCUAUUUUUACUCAAGAGGGUGAUGGUAAUGUUGAAAAAUAAUACGUAGUUGAGCAGACCAGUAAUACCAUUUAAAGUUUGGAAGUUGUAACCCUCCAGUUUCAUAAGGCAUAUAAAGCAACCAUAGUCUUAAUCUGGCUUUCUUAUUAUUCCCAAAAAAAUUCAGGAGCAUUCUGUUGAGUCUAUUGAAAAAGAUGUCAGGUAAUGACAUCAGGUAUGGUUUGAAAAAAAUUUAAACAUUUUGGCAAAACGCUCAUUUUAACUAUGUUUAUAUGUCCCAACAUUGAAAUUAGCAUUGUCAUCCACCUGUCUAAUAACUGUUGUACCUCCAAGAUUAAAGGGUCAUAAUUAACCUGAACUAUAUUGUUAACAUCAGGGGAAAUUUUGACCCCCAAAUAAUUAAAUCCAUCUCUCGUAUUCAAAAAAGGAGUGUUAACAACAGGAUUAAGUCUCUCUUCCGUACUUAAAAAUAAAAUGGAUGACUUUUGUAUCAUUAAUCACAUAACCUGAGAAACUAAUAAACUUUUUCAUUUGCUCCAAUAAAUUUGGAAGGCUCGUGGAUAACUUAGUCAAAAAGAGAAUGACGUCAUUGUCAUGAUCCUGCCGCUCCAGCCUGGGCUGGGCGGGUGUCCGCGGUUGCGCUGAUUGGAAGGUGCACACCUGCGCCUCAUGCAGCCUGAUUAUGCUAUGGAUUUAUAUGACCGCGAUGACAACUGGCCGGCACCAGUUCGUAUGAUCUUCAUGUCCCAUUCGUGUGCUCCGGUAUCCCUGAUUGAACCUGUGUGUACCGACCUUUGUCCGUUCUCCGACCAACCUUGUAAGCCUGACUCCUUUGAUACUUCUGCCUGUGUUGAUUGUUCUCCCGUGUACCGACUCCUGCCUGUCUGCUCAUCUGCUCUCUUUGCCCGUCGUCCCAACUACCGCUGCUGCACCGGACUGCCUGCUCGAUCCCCUACCUCUGCAUAUAAUAAACGUGUCUCUAC